CCUACGGGCGGCAGCAGUAGGGAAUCUUGCACAAUGGGGGAAACCCUGAUGCAGCAACGCCGCGUGGAGGAUGAAGGUUUUCGGAUCGUAAACUCCUGUUGUUAGAGAAGAAAGUGACGGUAUCUAACGAAUCAGCCCCGGCUAACUCCGUGCCAGCAGCCGCGGUAAUACGUAGGGGGCAAGCGUUAUUCGGAAUGACUGGGCGUAACGUGAGCGUAGGCGGGCUUGCAAGUCUGAUGUGAAAGCCUUGGGCUUAACCAGAGGACUGCAUUUGAAACUGUGAGGCUGGAGUGUGGGAGAGGUAAGUGGAAUUCCUGGUGUAGCGGUGAAAUGCGUAGAUAUCAGGAGGAACACCAGUGGCGAAGGCGGCUUGCUGGACGAUAACUGACGCUGAGGCUCGAAAGCGUGGGGAGCAAACAGGAUUAGAUACCCCGGUAGUC
rnacentral:rRNA from 1 species